rnacentral:rRNA from 1 species
AGUCGAGCGGAGACAGUGAGUAGCUUGCUAUGAGCUGUUUUAGCGGCGGACGGGUGAGUAACGCGUGAGCAACCUUUCCCAGACAGGGGAAUAACACACCGAAAGGUGUACUAAUACCGCAUAAGACCACGGGAUCACAUGGUUCUGGGGUAAAAGAUUUAUCGGUUUGGGGUGGGCUCGCGUCCGAUUAGGUAGUUGGUGAGGUAACGGCCCACCAAGCCGACGAUCGGUAGCCGACCUGGGAGGGUGAUCGGCCACAUUGGGACUGAGACACGGCCCAAACUCCUACGGGAGGCAGCAGUGGGGAAUAUUGGGCAAUGGGGGGAACCCUGACCCAGCAACGCCGCGUGGAGGAAGAAGGUUUUCGGAUCGUAAACUCCUGUCCUUGGAGACGAGUAGAAGACGGUAUCCAAGGAGGAAGCCCCGGCUAACUACGUGCCAGCAGCCGCGGUAAUACGUAGGGGGCAAGCGUUGUCCGGAAUAAUUGGGCGUAAAGGGCGCGUAGGCGGCUCGGUAAGUCUGGAGUGAAAGUCCUGCUUUUAAGGUGGGAAUUGCUUUGGAUACUGUCGGGCUUGAGUGCAGGAGAGGUUAGUGGAAUUCCCAGUGUAGCGGUGAAAUGCGUAGAGAUUGGGAGGAACACCAGUGGCGAAGGCGACUAACUGGACUGUAACUGACGCUGAGGCGCGAAAGUGUGGGGAGCAAACAGGAUUAGAUACCCAGGUAGUCCACACUGUAAACGAUGAAUGCUAGGUGUAGGGGGUAUCGACCCCUUCUGUGCCGCAG